rnacentral:rRNA from 1 species
GGAGGUAGUGACAAUAAAUCACAAUGCGGGACUAUUUAGUUUUGCAAUUGGAUUGAGAACAAUGUACAAGAGUUAUCGAUAAACAAUUGGAGGGCAAGUCUGGUGCCAGCAGCCGCGGUAAUUCCAGCUCCAAUAGCGUAUAUUAACGUUGUUGCAGUUAAAAAGCUCGUAGUUGAAGUGUGGGGUGAAAGGUUUGUCUUUUGUUUUAAAAGAUGUUCUGCUCACCCCCUCUCCAAUGUGUUGUUAUGGGUAUUAAUUUACUUGUAAUAGCUAUUGGUCAUUUACUGUGAGAAAAUUAGAGUGUUCAAAGCAGGCAUUUGCUUGAAUAUAUUAGCAUGGAAUAAUAGUAAAAGGCUUUUAUGGUCGAUUUAAUUGGUUUGUUCAUGAAAGCAAGAUUAAAAGGGACAGUUGGGGGUAUUCAUAUUCAAUAGUUAGAGGUGAAAUUCUCGGAUUUAUGGAAGAUGAACAAGUGCGA